GGGGAAUCUUGCGCAAUGGGCGAAAGCCUGACCCAGCGACGCCGCGUGAGGGAAGAAGGCCUUCGGGGUGUAAACCUCUUUGGCCGGGGAGGAGUAGGGGAUAGUACCCGUUUAUCAAGCCGCGGCUAACUACGUGCCAA
rnacentral:rRNA from 1 species